rnacentral:misc_RNA from 1 species
CCAAUCUUAGCGGGCCUGGUCUUUAUUAACCAUGGUUUCGCGAAAAUAGUAUUUAAAACUCACUCUUAUAAAAUGAAUCAUUUUUUUGUAUAAUAAAUAAAGA